AGAGUUUGAUCCUGGCUCAGAACGAACGCUGGCGGCAGGCCUAACACAUGCAAGUCGAGCGCGCCUUCGGGUGAGCGGCGGACGGGUUAGUAACGCGUGGGAACGUGCCCUUCUCUACGGAAUAGCCUCUGGAAACGGAGAGUAAUACCGUAUACGCCCUUUGGGGGAAAGAUUUAUCGGAGAAGGAUCGGCCCGCGUUAGAUUAGGUAGUUGGUGGGGUAAUGGCCUACCAAGCCUACGAUCUAUAGCUGGUUUUAGAGGAUGAUCAGCAACACUGGGACUGAGACACGGCCCAGACUCCUACGGGAGGCAGCAGUGGGGAAUCUUAGACAAUGGGGGCAACCCUGAUCUAGCCAUGCCGCGUGAGUGAUGAAGGCCUUAGGGUCGUAAAGCUCUUUCGCCUGUGAUGAUAAUGACAGUAGCAGGUAAAGAAACCCCGGCUAACUCCGUGCCAGCAGCCGCGGUAAUACGGAGGGGGUUAGCGUUGUUCGGAAUUACUGGGCGUAAAGCGCGCGUAGGCGGAUUAGAAAGUUGGGGGUGAAAUCCCGGGGCUCAACCUCGGAACUGCCUCCAAAACUGCUAGUCUAGAGUUCGAGAGAGGUGAGUGGAAUUCCGAGUGUAGAGGUGAAAUUCGUAGAUAUUCGGAGGAACACCAGUGGCGAAGGCGGCUCACUGGCUCGAUACUGACGCUGAGGUGCGAAAGUGUGGGGAGCAAACAGGAUUAGAUACCCUGGUAGUCCACACCGUAAACGAUGAAUGCCAGUCGUCGGGUAGUAUACUAUUCGGUGACACACCUAACGGAUUAAGCAUUCCGCCUGGGGAGUACGGUCGCAAGAUUAAAACUCAAGGAAUUGACGG
rnacentral:rRNA from 1 species